UACGAAGGGUGCAAACGUUGCUCGGAAUCAUUGGGCGUAAAGCGCACGUAGGCGGCUUCUUAAGUCGGAUGUGAAAUCCCUCGGCUCAACCGAGGACGUGCAUUCGAAACUGGGAAGCUCGAGUAUGCAAGAGGGUCGUGGAAUUCUCGGUGUAGAGGUGAAAUUCGUAGAUAUCGGGAGGAACACCAGUGGCGAAGGCGACGACCUGGGGCAAUACUGACGCUGAGGUGCGAAAGCGUGGGGAGCAAACAGG
rnacentral:rRNA from 1 species